rnacentral:misc_RNA from 1 species
UCAAACUUGGUCAUUUAGAGGAAGUAAAAGUCGUAACAAGGUUUCCGUAGGUGAACCUGCGGAAGGAUCAUUAGAAAUAAGGAGGAUUGAUCCCUCGCGGAUUGAUCGAAUCUCCCACAUCCAAUCCCUGUGUGCACUUAUCGACCGUUUGCUUUGGCAGGAAAGACAAGGGAGCCUUCGGAUCCCCCGGAGGUUUUUUACCCUGGGAGGACGUGCGUUAUGUCAUGUAGCGCCCAGCCUCGGCCUGCCAGAGUUUUUUUCUUUCGCAAACUCGAUUUUUUUUUUUUGACUGAAAUUACGUCUCGAUUGUCUUUGUCAAUCGGUCAAAUCAGAUACAACUUUCAACAACGGAUCUCUUGGCUCUCGCAUCGAUGAAGAACGCAGC